rnacentral:rRNA from 1 species
GUACGAGAAAGGGGAGCAAUCCCUGAGUAAAGUGGCGACCGGGUGAGUAACACGUGACCAACCUACCCUCGAGUGGGGAAUAACUCCGGGAAACCGGGGCUAAUACCGCAUAACAUCUCCGGCUCGGAAGAGCUGGCGAUCAAAGGAGCAAUUCGCUUGAGGAGGGGGUCGCGGCUGAUUAGCUAGUUGGUGGGGUAAGAGCCUACCAAGGCGACGAUCGGUAGCUGGUCUGAGAGGACGAACAGCCACACUGGGAUUGAGAACGGCCCAGACUCCUAAGGGGGGCAGCAGUGAGGAAUUUUCGGCAAUGGAGGCAACUCUGACUGAGCAACUCCGCGUGCAGGAGGACGCUUUUCGGAGUGUAAACUGCUUUUUUCUGGGACGAGAGUGGACGGUACCAGAAGAAGAAGCCCCGGCUAACUACGUG